rnacentral:rRNA from 1 species
GACGAACGCUGGCGGCGUGCUUAACACAUGCAAGUGGAGCGACGAAGCGGGCUUCGGCCCGUGGCAGAGCCGCGAACGGGUGAGUAACACGUGGGUAACGUGCCCCAAUGACUGGGACAACCCGGGGAAACCCGGGCUAAUACCGGAUGUACUCCUUCCACAUCAGUGGAUUGAGCAAAGGUAGCUUCGGCUUCCGCAUUGGGAUCGGCCCGCGGCGCAUUAGCUUGUUGGGAGGUAACGGCUCACCAAGGCUGCGAUGCGUAGCUGGUCUGAGAGGACGAUCAGCCACACUGGGACUGAGACACGGCCCAGACUCCUACGGGAGGCAGCAGUGGGGAAUCUUGCGCAAUGCACGAAAGUGUGACGCAGCAACGCCGCGU